AGUGCGAAUGCUGACAUAAGUAACGAUAAAGCGGGUGAAAAGCCCGCUCGCCGGAAGACCAAGGGUUCCUGUCCAACGUUAAUCGGGGCAGGGUGAGUCGACCCCUAAGGCGAGGCCGAAAGGCGUAGUCGAUGGGAAACAGGUUAAUAUUCCUGUACUUGGUGUUACUGCGAAGGGGGGACGGAGAAGGCUAUGUUGGCCGGGCGACGGUUGUCCCGGUUUAAGCGUGUAGGCUGGUUUUCCAGGCAAAUCCGGAAAAUCAAGGCUGAGGCGUGAUGACGAGGCACUACGGUGCUGAAGCAACAAAUGCCCUGCUUCCAGGAAAAGCCUCUAAGCAUCAG
rnacentral:rRNA from 1 species